GAGUAGCUGCUCCUCCAGUCCCCUCCCCAGCGGAAUCUGUGCGGGGAGAGCCGUUUCCUACCGCCCCUCUGUGUCCAGCCGGAGGAGGGGACCCAUCUCUGCUCCCGGGCGGGGGUCUGCGAGUCCCAGCGCUGCUGCCCCCCCUGAGCGCCUGCAGGAGCCAAGCCAGCUCCGGGAGAGCGACCGGCCCGGGCCCGGGUCAGGGACCGAGUCUCCCAGCCCGAGGGGAGAGGGGGCAGGAGGGAGACAGUGGGAGAGACUGGAUGGGGCAGCAGGAGCAAUAAGGGGGUGUAUACAAAUCUCUGGUCAGAUCCUUCUCCCCCCCCCCCCCAGGCAGAGGGGGGAAGUGAACCUGUUUGACCCACAUCCCAGCUGAAUGCUAACUACUGGUCUCUGAGUCAUACUGUGGGCACCUUCUCCUCUGGGUUUGGAACGGGCCCUUGCUGAGGCAUGCUCUGAGCGCACCUAGCAGAUCAGGCCUUGCAGGGACGUUAGGAAUUCACCUGCCUGGCUUAGCCUGGUUCAGGGAUUGUGCUGGGGCUCAGAAAGGAGAUAGUGUCUGGAUGCCUAGAGGGAGGAAGUGGUGUACAUGACCAGAACAGGAAAUUAGGCAGCUGGAGAACUUUUACAGCAGUAAUUUAGAUGUGCAGUGAGAGAGGGGUUGUAUAAAAUGGCACCCGAAACUGGGAUGUAGUCAGACACCUAAAUGUAAGUCAGUUAGCUUAUCUGAAUGAUUACACAGGCCCAGGAGGAGGCUGCGAUCUUGUGAGUUUAGGAGAGAAUGCCUGGCUGGAUUAGCACACAGAAGAUGGGUGGACUGGAAGGGUUAAAGGUUUGUACUUUUGAGUUAAUGAAAUAAGCCCCACAAAGGAAGAAUGUUGGUCUGAGCAUUCUGGUCUGGGAGUAAUCCUUGCAAGAGAGCGAGAAAGAGCUGCAGGUCUGCAGGACCAAGCAUGCUACCAGGGGGUGGCUCUUGGGUGGCACACCAUCACUCCAGUCAAGCAUGAGAAAGCCAGGAAAGGCCACAGGUAAGGGACCCCUUGUGCAUCUUUAACUGCUCCCUUUUGCUUAAGCAUUAGGACACUGUGUUUUACUACAUGGUCACAUAUUAUCUCUCAGAACUCAUUGUCUCAGGAAGUUGUUGAAGCCAAGAAUUUAAUAAGAUUCAGAAAAGGAUUGGACAUUUACAUGGACAUCACACGUCAGGUCUGAAGCCAAGUUCUGGCUAAUAGAGACCAGGAAAAGACCUAAUAUGGUGGCACACUAUCCCACACAGCUACACCGUCCUCUGAAGCAGCUGGCACUGGUCAUUCUGAGACACAGAAUAUUGGGCUAAGUCCAUACCUGGAUCUGAUCCAGUCUGGAAAUUCCUACGUUUGUACUAUACACUGCAUGGUUUUUUUCCUACAAUCUUAAAUGCACGUGUGUGACACCCUGUAAUAUAACUGUGUCACCUGGCAUGCCGAUAACAACGUCCCCGUGGCCAAAAUCCUACAGUAAAUCUUUAGUGAAACAGAUUUGUCAUAUGGUCACUUCUGUCUUCUAUAAUUGUGUAGGCAGUGAUUAAUUUGUGCCAGGGCUGAGCCCUAGCACCUCGAGGCUUGGCAGUUCAUAGCACCAACACCUCUGGGCUCCUGGCCAGCAGCCGCAGCUCAGAAGGCAGCACCGCCACCACCAGCAGCACAGAUGGAAGAUUGGCAAUACUAUCCCAUGCCAUCCUUAGUUCUGUGCUGCUGCUGACAACAGUACUGCUUUCAGAGCUGGGUGCCCAGCCAGCAGCCGUCACUCUCCAGCUGCUCAUCUUGAGCCCCGGCACCUCUUUCAUUACAGAUUAAGCACUGGGUGUAUAUCGUUAAUUAUUAUGCUGCUCCAUGUACAAGCAGGAUUUCUAUCCCUCUGGACUCAGAUACACUUCUGAGGGAUGGUUUUGUUAUCACAGCAGAACAGAGAAUUGCACUAACAGCCUGGAUUCCUCCUUUUCUGACACCAGUAUCCCCUUCUGACACCAACCUGGUCCCUCUAUCAAGCAGUAGCAGUUGUCCGAGGUCUUGCAGGUUGACUUUGCAGUGGGGGAGAAAUCAGUGAUUAUCCAUGAGGGUUUCCAGCCAGCUGGUUUUCAUCACACAUGGGUGACUCAAGGUAACAUGCUGUGGCCACUAAACUUGUGCUAUACCAACGUACUUUUAAAUUUGAAAUCAGUCUGUAUACACUGUAAGGGUAAAUUGCAGUACACCAAUCCUGACAUGAGAAGGUCAAACUGCAUGCAGGGCAAUCCCUUCUCCUAGGAAUCUCAACUCCACACCAGUUCCCAGACAGCAGCUCUGUCUGGAGCAGACUGUAUUUACAGAGCAAUCUUGCCUGCUCCUCGCGUAGCUUCUCCUGUCCCAAAGCUGCUUCUACUCCAAACCUGGCAUAAUCCAAAACUAAUGAAGCACAAUAUAUCAUCCCAAGAGUCAAAACUUGCUCACAUGCCUAGGAAAAGGGUUUGGAGACUGUGUGUAACAGUGCCACUUUGUGACACCUGCCAGGUUUUGUUAUGAACUUUAUUUGCCUCUUUCCUGGGAACUGCCCUGAAAUGACCCUCAUAGAGUUAACAGUAACUUUCCCAAAGCAGUGAAAGGAAUUGCUUUAAAGUAUUUAUGCUUCUAGCUUCCAUAUUUAAGCUAAGGUCCUUCUAGGAGCUGACAAAUGCACAUGAAUGUCUUCCUAGCUGCUACUGUACACCAGAAUAGAAUACCCUGUAAUAAUAGGUCAUGCUUGUGUUGAAUCUUUCUUAGCUGACCAUUUAAUGGCACACAUUUUUAAAAAGUGGCCUCACUGAUAGCCUCCGUUUUUUAGGAACCCAGCUUGACACCUUGGGCAGCCGCAGUUCCCAUUGGCUCCAGCACCUCUUAAGAUCCAUAACCGUCUCACCGUGGGCACAUGACAUGUGAGAUACUCAAAAUCAGUGUACCUGGAAGUGCAGCAGCUUUUGGGGCUGAGCAGAGCAGCCAGGGUUGCCGAAGGUGACGUGCUGUGGCCAGUGAAAGUAAUAGGGAUUACUUAUUGACAACUCCAAUGUGAGCUCUCAGAUGGAACAAGGGGAAGAGCUGUGGGUCCCAGAUCUCCAGGGCUGUGAGGAACGGGAGAUUGCAGCAGGUGACGGGACAGUGAGUGAGAACAAGGAGGAGACCCCUCAGCAGGAAGGUCCCGAGCAAGUGGAACCACCUGGGAUGUUACUGGGAAGAGCUGAAAGGGAUGUUUCCCAGAGUCAUGAGCAGGGAGAAGCCUGUGAGAGUCAGUGCAGGCUGGAGAAGCAUCAGAAAAACCAGCCAGGGAAGGGAGAGAGAAAACCCACUUGCUGUGGGGAAAGACUCAAGAAACCAAAAGACAUCUCAGCCUGUCCGAGAGAAAGGAAAGGAGGUGAAAAUGGAGAUACACACACUGUGUCUGGGAAGAGCUGUAGACAGAGCUCAGAACUUAGUGUUCAGCAGACAAUCCACCCUGUAGAGAGGCCCAAUAAAUGCCCUGACUGUGAGAAAAGCUUUAGCCAGAAAUCAGCCCUUGUUAGACACCAAAGGCUGCACACAGGAGAGAAGCCCUACAAAUGCAGUGACUGUGGGAAGAGCUUCAGUGUGAGCUCACACCUGAUCACCCACCAGAGACUGCACACAGGAGAGAGACCCUACAAGUGCCUGGACUGUGGGAAAAGCUUCAGCGAGAGCUCAAACUUUAUUCACCAUCAGAGAAUCCACACAGGAGAGAGACCCCAUAAAUGCCCCGACUGCGGGAAACUCUUCAGUAACAACUCAGACCUCACGAGGCACCGCCGGACCCACACGGGAGAGAGGCCUUAUGAGUGCCCGGACUGCAGGAAGAGCUUCAGUGUGAGGUCCCAUUUAGCAAGACACAAGCGCGUGCAUGCAAAGGAGGAGGAGCUGGAAAGCUCCUCCCUUCUCUCACAUCAGAGAUUUCUGUCAAACGAGAAGCUCUACACAUGCCCUGACUGUGGGAGAAGGUUCAGGGACAGCAGAGGCCUCGUCACACAUCAGCGAAUCCACAUGGGGCAGAAAUGCUACCAGUGCUCUAACUGCGGGAAAAGCUUCGGGGUGAGCUCAGCUCUUUCUGAGCACCAGAGAAUCCACGCGGACGAGAAACCCACCAUCUAUCCAGAUUGUGGGAAAUGCUUUCUUCAGAGCUCAGAGCUGCUCCUCCAUCAGAUUAGCCAUGCAGGGGGAAAGCCAUACACAUGUGAGGAGUGUGGUAAAUGCUUCACUCAGAGAUCAAAUCUCCGGGCUCACCUCAAACACCACACAGCUGAGAAGCCCCAUAAAUGCACCCAGUGUGGCAAGAGCUUUGUCAAGCGCUCCAUCCUGGCCAGGCACCAGAUCACCCACAUGGACCUGAAACCGUUUAAAUGCUCCGUGUGCAGCAAAAGCUUCACUCAACUCUCCAGCCUCACGAGGCAUGAGAGGGUCCAUGAGGCAGAGAUGCUCUCCAAGCCCCCCGACUGGAUGGCAGAAAUGAAACAUACGUUCAUCGAUUCCAGCGGGCGGGCGUGGAACUGGGCUCAAGAGUAUCCGGCUGCCCAACUGUGGGGUGAGGAGGCAGCCAUAACCAGCCCCAAACUGAUCAGUGACCCUCGGCCUAUGCCUGGUCUGGCAAACCCCAGGCAGAGCAGGGGAGACCUCAGCCAGCCCCUUUUAAGUGCUGCUGAACUCGCUGCCGAGCUGCCGAGCUCUUCUGCCUCCUGCCAGGACGGUGCAGGGAGGGAGAAUGUCUCUAUCUCCCUGGACUGAAAGAUCCCCCGUCCCCUUAACUGCUUCCCCAGGCCACCAGCCUCAGGAGAAGCACUAGAGGAGGGCAUUACAGCUGGGAUUUCCCGAGAUACCCAGGGGGCAGGAUUGGGGGUGGUGGGAAGCAGAGUGGGGCAGCUGGCUGCUAGGGGUAUUAAGUGUCUGGAGACCGGGGGUUAAGGAAUCAUAGAAUAUCAGGGUUAGAAGGGACCUCAGGAAGUCAUCUAGUCCAACCCCCUGCUCAAAGCAGGAGGAGAAUGGGCAGGGUUAGGAUGCUCCAUUCCCCUCAGUUGGAGUCUCAACAUCUCUGAAAGCCAAUCCUGAUACUUUUAAUGACUGCCAUUAGUCACUUGUGUCAUCACUUCCUGGUAAAAUCUGCUGCUUUUUUUCAUCCUUUGAGUGUCUUUGCACUGAUGUAUAUAUACAUGAUGACACAAGGUGCAGGGCUCACCAUUGGCUAACUGGAAAGGGAAAUUUAAGUGGGCCGAAUACAACUACCCAGACUGGAAUUGAUUCAGAAUAUGCGAUUACGCAAAGGCUUUUUUUAGUCAUGUGCUCUUUUAAUAAUCCUAACACUUGGUGUUUGAUAGCACUUUAUAUGCUCAAAACACUGUAGAAGCAUUAGAUCUUGUUAUAAUCUAUAAAGAAGGUCUGAAAGCUUGGGGUUUUUUUAAGAUUACAUUCUCCCCCCCUUUGCCUUGCUUUCUGACCCUAGGCACCAUUUUUGUACCAAUUGAACGAUUUAAUUGAGGGGAUUGAUUUUAGAGCUAAAUAAUUACACCGGUAAAAGCCCUAGAGUGGAUGCCAUUAUACUGGUAUUCUCAUAACUAUAAAGGGAAGGGAACAGCCCUCCUGUAUACAAUACUAUACAAUCCCUCCUGGCCAGAGGCACCAAAAUCCUUUCACCUGUAAAGGGUUAAGAAGCUCAGGUAACCUGGCUGACACCUGACCCAAAGGCCCAAUAAAGGGACAAGUUACUUUCAAAUCUUUGGGGCGGGGGGAGGGGAGAAGGCUUUUGUUUGUGCUCUUUGUUUUGGCUGUGUUCUCUCUUGCGACUAAGAGGGACCGGACAUCAAUCCAUUUUCUCCAAAUCUUUCUGAACAAGUCGCUCAUAUUUAAAACUUGUAAGUAACAGCCAGGCAAGGCAUAUUAGUUUGUCUUUGUUUUCUCAACUUGUGAAUUUUACAUUUGCUAGAGGGAAGUUUAUCCCUGUUUUGUUAUCACUUUGAACCUUAGGCUAGACAGGGUUCCUCUGGGCUCUUUGAAGCUGAUU